rnacentral:rRNA from 1 species
AAUAUUGGACAAUGGGCGCAAGCCUGAUCCAGCCACGCCGCGGGAGGGAUGAAGGCCCUAGGGUGUUAAAGCUCUUUCACCGGUGAAGAUAAUGACGGUCACCGGAGAAGAAGCCCCGGCUAACUUCGUGCCAGCAGCCGCGGUAAUACGCAGGGGGCUAGCGUUGUUCGGAAUUACUGGGCGUAAAGCGCACGGAGGCGGAAAUUUAAGUCCGGGGUGAAAUGCCGGGGCUCAACCCCGGAACUGCCUUUGAUACUGGAUGUCUGGAGUAUGGAAGAGGUGAGUGGAAUUCCGAGUGUAGGGGUGAAAUUCGUAGAUAUUCGGAGGAACACCAGUGGCGAAGGCGGCUCACUGGUCCAUUGCUGACGCUGAGGUGCGAAAGCGUGGGGAGCAAACAGG